rnacentral:rRNA from 1 species
AACGUAGGACGCAAGCGUUAUCCGGAGUUACUGGGCGUAAAGCGCGGGCAGGCGGUCUUGCCAGUCUGAUGUGAAAUCUCCUCGCUCAACGGGGAGCAGCCAUUGGAAACUACAAGACUGGAGUCUGGCAGAGGUAGGCGGAAUUCCGCGUGUAGCAGUGAAAUGCGUAGAGAUGCGGAGGAACACCGAUGGCGAAGGCAGCCCCCUGGGCUGACACUGACGCUCAGGCACGAAAGCGUGGGGAGCAAACAGG